CGCAGAGACGAUAUACGGCAGUCCUCUGUGAGACCUUGAAGGGAGAGGUGCCGCCGCCCGCCUCCCUCCCUGCCUCCCUCACUCCCUCUACCCGCCUCGCUGCCUCGCCGCUCCUCCACUAGAUACCGUGGCCCCACCAGCAGUCCUUGAAGAUGACCUUAAAUCCACAGUUCCAACAGAUCGGGGAGACCUUUGUCAAACAAUACUACCUUAUUUUUGACGGCGAGAGAGAAGGCAGGGAGAAGCUGGCAAACUUCUAUCACGCAGAACUGUCUUUAAUGUCCUUUGAGGGAGUCCAGGUGCAAGGCGCUGUUCAAAUCCUGGAGAAGAUUAAGAGCUUGACCUUCAACAAAAUAGCCCGAGCCAUCACUACUGUUGACUGCCAGCCUACGUUUGAUGGCGGUGUUUUAGUCAACAUUCUCGGACAGUUGAAGAUGGAUGAUGACCCUCCUCAUGGAUUCAAUCAAACCUUUGUGCUCAAACCUCUUGGCGACAGUUUCUUCGUCCAACACGACAUGUUUCGGCUGGCGCUCCACCACAUUGCGGUGUGAGUGGAGGGCCCGGUCACUGCAUCUUAAGGUGGCAAAGAGCAUCUGUAGUUGAUUCUCUGCUCCAUCAUCUUACUGGAAGAUGGAUGAGGACCCCGUACAUGGAUUUUCCCAGACAUUUGUCCUCAAACCUAUGAAUGACUCUUUCUUCAUCCAGCACGAUUCCUUCCGCCUGGUCAUCCAUAAUAACUAGAGCAUCACCCACCCACCUGCCCACCUGCCCCUCGAGCAGCUCACCACCACCCAGCAGCCCCUGGCUCAUCCUCACCAGUCAUGGCCUCGCACUCAGAGUCUUGUAGCGGCAGAGUCAGCAUCUGUUACUCAGUCAGGGUGGCGUACGUCCCAGGUGUGUCCCAGGGAAACUUGGGGGAACAGAGAAACUGGAGGAUGUGUUCACACUGUUUUGUUGAUGAUACUUCUUGCUAUGAUGCCUUGCUUCCCAUUAGAAGGAAAGGUGUGUGCAGCAUAUCAUGAUGACUUGUAACCUAAUGCCACUUCAGACUUUGUAGAUUCCUUACUGAUGUGAUGAGCUAGAGAGAGAAAGAGAGAGUGCACGUGCAAACUUGUGUUUGUGCGUGUGCAUAAGAGUAAGAGAGCUUACCUGAGCAAGAAAUGCCCUACAAGAUGCAGUCUUUUGAGUAUUUUGAGGUGUUGCUGCAGAGUUUUUAUAAUACUUACUAGUAAGUGUUACUAUUGAACUCACUAUGCUGCUUACUGAGCAUUGCUUGAAGGGGAACCUGUAGCUUGUUUUAAUUUUCCAUUUUUUCUGUUUUCUCAUGUAGUGCAAUGUGUAAUUUUGGGAAUGUUUUAUGGAGACAUUGUUUGGUCACUUGUCUCUUUUAAGCAUCAUUUGAAAUUUUUGACUGUGCUUUCCAUUGUGCUAUUGAGCUUCCUUCCACACUGGGCCUGUCACUGCUGCCUGAUGUGAUGCUGUUGUCCUGGUCGGUGCGUGAGGCCGGCUGACAGGCCAUCUUGGUGGACUUCAAGCUCUGCUGAAGAUCAUUGGGGCUGGCAGGGUUAAACUAUAGGCUCAAAAUGGUUCAUCUCAUUGUUAGUACUUAGCACCAACACAACCUUCUUGCCUUGUUGAUAGUAUUAAGUAUUGUCCAUGUAAUUAUUAUACUGUCAUAAGCCAGUUGCUAGGAGAUUGUUUCCAGCGAGUGGAAACUGAGUAUUUUGGAGGUCGUACAUGACAGUGAGGAAUGAUGAAUGUUUGUGGUCUCUGUGGGAGGGAGCUUCAUUUCUGUCCAUCUUACCAUCAUUUUCUGCUGAUUGGCUAAAAUGUUAUAAAGACUUAAAAUAUUCCCAGAUAAUUUUGUGUGGUAGCUUUUGGUAUGAAAUGAAUCAUAUCCGAACGAACAUGCUUUUUAAGAUAAGUUUUGUUUGUAAUUGAAGUUCCUUAGGUUUUGCUGAGCAACACGCUUCUCUCUCUGGUAACUCCCAAAAGAAGACAUUGGCAAGAGAUGUAUUGUCUCCAUUUCAUCAUCAUUUUGGAUAAAAAUGAAAUCAGUAAACACCACAUCAGAAUUGCUAGAAGUGCAUGUACCCAGUUGGUUAUCCAGUGACCUCAGUAUAGAUAUAAUGUAAUGUGCUGUUUUCUAUCUAAAUGAAUUUGUAUGAUGAUUUUGUAUGAAUUUUAUGCCUAGUACGUAUUGACUCACACAGGGUGGACUCGCUAUUUUGCAUGACUGAUUGGGAAACCUUGUUGUUAUUAUGGGAAUGUUAAGAGGAGAGGCACAAUGUUGGCAUUAACAUCAAGGACUGCCUUCUUUCUGAGUGCUAAAUAGACAUAGCAGAUGGAAAAUUUAGUGUUUUGUAUUGAAAUAACAUUGUAUCUUGGCAGUGUGGGGAGAAGAGUGUUUGUGUGAAUGGGUUGGUUUGGUGUGGGCUGACUCUGCAAGGCAUUUGGGACCAGGGCUGCCAUUCUCCUCUUGGAAAAAAAAGGAAGAAAAAUUAAAGCUACCAUUGCUGCAAGUUGAUCCAUUUGAUUGAAAUACAGUAAUUUUCUUAA